GCUCAUUCUGGCGCAGGGUACCUAGGAGGCCCAGAAGCAGCAGCAGCUGCACUGCAGGUGGGAUUUGGGAACAGAACUGAGUUUCGCUUUCUGACAGCGAUGGGCUAGCCUCUCCUGGGCCCCUGCAUUCAUUCCCAUCUCAAAACAUGGGGCUGAGCGCCUCCCCCUCACCCAGCUGACCUAUGGGGUUUCUGGUCUGUACCUGUCUGUAAAAUCCUUUUCCUGACAGUCCCACCUGCCUUCCUAAAGCCUUUUAGAACUCACAACUCCUGUCUGUCCCCAAGCUAACCAGUCCUUGCAUGCUGCACCCCUGGGUCUCCAGCUGCUCAUUCUGCUACAAAGCCGCCUUGUCAUGUACUGUCCUCGGCCUGGAGAUGGGGCCAAGAGCCAGGAGGAAUUCCUCGCUCUGGAGUGUUACUCUUGAAGAGGAAAAACCAGGUGCUGGACAGCAAGGAGAGGAGGCCGGAGGAGGCAGCCUCCAUGCUCAGCCCGGUACCUGUGCUUGGAUUUCCCCGCGUGUCCCACGGAGGGCAAAUACACAUGUAUGAAGGGUCUCGCUAAGUUGCUCAGGCUGGCCUUGAACUUGCAGUUCUCCUGCCUCAGCCUCCUGAGAAGCUGGGAUUACAGAAAAACUACAAGACCGGCUUUCCUCAGCCUGCUCACCAUAUGGUGCCCCAAGCAGGAGAAAACCAUCUGCAGGGGCUGGGAGUCCUUACCAUCUUGGCCAAGAUGACUGUGCGUCUUAGAUUAGCUAGUGGUCCAUCCGAGGGAGAGCCCCUGCUGGGAGACUUAGCUUUCAGUUGGGUUCAACCUCCCCUCUCUGAGCCUUGGGCACUCAUCUUCACAAUGAGGCUGUUGGACUUGCUGCUCCUAUGGCACCAGCAAUUCAUGACUGCAUGCUCUAGGUAGUGACUAGUGACCUGUGGCGAAGCUGAUCAGGGGGCUCUGGGGCAUUGUCACCCUACAGCAUAUCCCAGAGACAGCCUAAGGCUCACUGCUGUCAAGAACUGCUGGUGGGGGCAGGGCUGGGCAGGGGUGGGCAGUGGUGCCUGCUCUCCUGCAAGCAGGGCCCGGGUCCUGAGCUCAUCAUCUAAGCAGGUAAUUAUGUGUGUGCUUUGUUCACUACACAAAGGGGCUCUCAGAGAACUUGGAGGGGCUCUGCUUCCUGGCUGAUUUGAUUUUUUCAGAGCUGGAGUGUGAAAAUCAAGCUGAACCUGCCUAAUUGUGUCUGGGAAGGCGAUUCAGAGAGGCUCUCUUGGAAGGAAAUCAGGACAAUUAGCUCUUGGCUGCGGGGAGAGGGGGGUGCAAGCUCAUGAUAGCAAAUGUCAGCCUGUUCCGGGGAACCAAAGGGCAGCACAGGGCGAGAGUGGGAAAAGGAGGGGCGUCCGCGGCUGCUUCCCAGGGGCUGGUUAGCGCCCACCGCCUGCGGGAGCAUAGGCUCCUGGUGCGGGUGCCUGCGGGAGCAAAGGCUGGGGCGGGUGAGGGAGAGUGGGGUGCUCACCCGAGUCUUGGGGUUUGGCCACGUGGCCUUGGCAAGGCAGGAAGCCCGGGGUCUCAGGUUCUCUGCGUCUGCCCAGUGAGCUCUGGCACAGCGAGCAGAGGGAGCCCACUCACCCCGGGUAGCGGCCGGUCCAGCGGGAGGGUGCGGAGGGGCUGGGAGAGGCCCGUGGCCUCGCUCAAACGGGGCGGCGCAGGGUCGGGCUCCAGCUGGCCCAGCUGCUCUCCGGGCUGCCACGCUUUCUGUGUCACAGAGGAAAAUUCUAACUCUAACGGCCUCUUGGGCUUCCAAGGCAGAGAGGUGGGGUCCGCCUUAGCCUUGCCUGUUCUGAGCUCUGCGACGUUACAGAGGCUCCUCGGCCUCUGCACGGCUUCCUAACCAGACGCACCUGGCAUCCAGCGCCCCAUCUGGCACCACGCCUGUGACAACUGCCCAUUGUCCCUCCUGUGGCAUCAGGAAACUGGGGUCCAUGAGUCCACUUCCCAGUCACCAAAGAGUGUGUGUGUGUGAGUGGGUUUGUGAACGUGAGUGGGUAUAUGUGAUGUGUGUAGGUGUGGGAGUGAGUGUGCAUGGCUGUGUGGAAGUGAAUGUGAGUGUAUGUAAGAGUGUGAGUAUAAGUGUGUGAGCAUGUGCACAUGUGAGUGUGUGCACAUGAAAGUGUGAGGGUGUGGGUCUGUGAUUGUGAGUGUAUGUGUAUGCAUUAGUGAGUGUGAGCUGGGUGAGUGGUUAUGGGAGUGUGUGUGUGAGUGCAUGAGUGUGUGUAAGAGUGCAUGUGUUAGUGUGAGUAUAUGAGUAUAUGUGUAGCUGAGUGUGUGCAUGUAUGUGAAUGUGUAUGUGUGUAUAUGUGUGAGAGGAUACAUGUGUGUAGAAGUUUGAAUGUUUGUGUAAAUAUGUGUAUGAGUUGUGAGAAGUGUAUCUGAGUGAGUGUGUCAAAGUGUGUGAAUGUGUAUAGUGUGUAUGCAUGCAGUGCAUGAGUGUGUGCAUGGGUGUUUGAAUGUGAAUGUGAGUGUGUGUUGGAUAGACGUGCUCCUGGAUGGAGUGUGUCUUUCCGUGGGGCCCAGGAUAUGCGCUUCAUUUUUUAUUUAUUUUAAGGGAAGCGGCCUGGUUUGGGUGGAGCCAUAGAGCGGCAUCAGAAUCCGACACCCCAGGUGGGCAGUGAUCAUGUUCUUCAGCUCCUGUGUCUGUACAUAGAGAUGAUGGUCACACCAGCUUCCAAGUGAGGGUCAAACUCUUUGAUACACUCGGAAGUCUUGGCACAGGGCCUGGCACCACUGUUGUCACCGACAUUGUGACUGAAUGGCUCAGGGUCCCACUAGACACGCUAGCAUGGGAUGUGAGAGGAACCCACCCCGGUGGCUGGAAUGAGGAUGCCAGGGCUCAAGUUCAGGCAGCACCCACUGGCAAGGGGCAUGUGGCAUCCAUUUGGCUUGGUCUAUCUUGAGAUGCUCCAGUGUUAAAUAAUUUGGAUCCCACCUCUGAGAGAGGACACAAGCCUCAGGCUGCUUGCAAAGGCAGAGUUGUAGAGGAGGUGGUGGCAUGUGUGGGCGUGGCCAGAGAAUCCAGCCCCAGAGCCAGCCCUGGUCUGAUCUGAGGAGCCUGGGCCCCACUGUCCCCAGCUGUCCACUGGGAUGUGAGACCUGGAAGUGUGCAUUGCCCUCUGUGCCCUGUGCACGCUGUGUAUUGUGUCUGUGCAAUUUCUCACACCCGUUUGGUAGGUGGGAUGGGGGCGGGCAGGGAAGCAGGUUUGGAGUCAGGGUGGUGAGGCCCUGCGCAGUGCAGGUGGAGGUGGCCGUGAAGGAGGGGCAGCCAGGGGCCCUGGGGUUGGAUAGCAGCUCCCAGCAGUUUGCUAGCUCUCCUGUGGGCUUCGGAAGGCUCUCUUGCCUUAGGUUUGGCCACUUGGCAUGGAGCACAUGGCGACCUCUCCAACAUGGCCUCUGACGGUGGCCUCGUGGUGGCCCACCUGUGAGGAACACAUCCUCCGUAAAGCCUUAGAGACCACAGGUCCUGAAGCCAGAUUUAAAGUUAGGUGGUCAGUGUAGUUAGGUAAAUCGGGUCUAAUAUCGAGUAAAAUCGAAAAUGAAGGCUAUGCUGACAAUGAUUCAGAGAAAGGCAGGACAACUCAUGGAAUGUUAAUGAAGUCCCGGAAAGGCCCUAGGCCAAAGUCCACCCCAAAGAAAUGUUAAUGGACCCAGGAAACAGCCCCCAACAGAUUUGGAGAUAGCCCAUCCCAGAGAAGUGAUAAGCCCAUCCCAAAAAGUGAUAAUUAAGUCCUUCCUGCCCGUUUGGCCCACCUGUGUCCUAACCCUUACCCCUCACCAGAACUAUAAAAAGGGGAGACAACCGCACUUCCACAGAUUCCACCUCUUGGGUCCCCUUCUUCCUCCGGGAGAAGUCUUUUCUGCUGUCCU